UACGUAGGGUGCAAGCGUUAAUCGGAAUUACUGGGCGUAAAGCGUGCGCAGGCGGUUGUGCAAGACAGAUGUGAAAUCCCCGGGCUUAACCUGGGAAUUGCAUUUGUGACUGCACGGCUAGAGUGUGUCAGAGGGGGGUAGAAUUCCACGUGUAGCAGUGAAAUGCGUAGAUAUGUGGAGGAAUACCGAUGGCGAAGGCAGUCCCCUGGGCCUGCACUGACGCUCAUGCACGAAAGCGUGGGGAGCAAACAGG
rnacentral:rRNA from 1 species